rnacentral:rRNA from 1 species
UGGGGGAUAUUGCACAAUGGGCGAAAGCCUGAUGCAGCGACGCCGCGUGGGGGAUGAAGGCCUUCGGGUUGUAAACUUCUUUUGCUCUGAACAAGGCGCACCAUGGGGUGUGUUGAGUGUAGGGGUUGAUUAGCGCCGGCUAACUACGUGCCAGCAGCCGCGGUAAUACGUAGGGCGCGAGCGUUGUCCGGAAUUAUUGGGCGUAAAGGGCUUGUAGGUGGCUGGUUGCGUCUGUCGUGAAAGCUCAUGGCUUAACUGUGGGUUUGCGGUGGGUACGGGCUGGCUUGAGUGCAGUAGGGGAGGCUGGAAUUCCUGGUGUAGCGGUGGAAUGCGCAGAUAUCAGGAGGAAUACCGGUGGCGAAGGCGGGUCUCUGGGCUGUUACUGACACUGAGGAGCGAAAGCAUGGGGAGCGUACAGG